CCGCGCAAAUUGACCCAAUCACACAAUCUGUUAGCAGCAAACAAGAUAUAUUCAAAUCCCCAAUCUACAGAUCCCCCUGACCAUCAACAUGCUGAGCGUGAGACUGGCAAUCCUUGUCAUCCUGGUAGUCGCUGUGACAGCAAGGAGAGACAGAUGUCAGGUGUGUCUUAAGUCUUGCUCAGAACUCGAGAUGGCCUGCAGAUUCAGCUGUCCUGGGGGCCCUCUGUCGUCCGGCUGCCGAGAGACAUGUGCAGGCGACUCUGGCGUCGCGAGCUGUGUUGGCAACUGCAACUGCAGUGGUUAACUUUCACGCGACUGGCUUUCACAUCACAUGGCGUGUAAACAGAAUGCGUAAUAUACGAGUUGAAAGCAA
rnacentral:lncRNA from 1 species